UACGUAGGGCGCAAGCGUUGUCCGGAAUUAUUGGGCGUAAAGAGCUCGUAGGUGGUUUGUUACGUCUGCUGUGAAAACCUAGGGCUUAACCCUGGGCCUGCAGUGGAUACGGGCAGACUAGAGGUAGGUAGGGGAGAAUGGAAUUCCCGGUGUAGCGGUGAAAUGCGCAGAUAUCGGGAGGAACACCGGUGGCGAAGGCGGUUCUCUGGGCCUUACCUGACACUGAGGAGCGAAAGCAUGGGGAGCGAACAGG
rnacentral:rRNA from 1 species